rnacentral:rRNA from 1 species
AACCAAUAAAGUUUUCUUUAUUGGGGUUGCGGACAUAUCAUAACGAAGAGGUAUCGUAAUUGAAGAGGUUUGGAAAGACCCACCACAGAAGGUAAUAGUCCUGUAUGUUAAACGAGAAGACUUUAGAUAUGAUCCAGAGUACCACGGGACACGUGAAACCCUGUGGGAAGCAGGAGGGACCCCCCUCCAAGGCUAAAUACUACCUAGUGACCGAUAGCGUAUAGUACCGUGAGGGAAAGGUGAAAAGAACCCCGGGAGGGGAGUGAAAUAGAACCUGAAACCCUGCACUUACAAGCUGUGGAAGCACAUUUCUUGUGU